rnacentral:lncRNA from 1 species
GGCGGGUGCCCUCGGACCCGGCGGCGGGGGGCCUGGGGCCGCCGGCUGCAGAGCUGCUGCCUGACGGCGGCCAUGCCGUGUCCCCGCAGACGGACGUGGACGUGGUGGUGGCCGACCUGGUGAAGCAGGUGCACAGCGCCAGCGCCGAGAGCCGGAGGAAGGCCGUGCGCCCCAAGGCGCUGCUGGACAACUGCCUCAAGGUCAUGAGGAUGCUGUACGGCAGGCGCUGUGAGUGGGCCCGGGGGGGCCGGGGACGCGCCGUCCGGGGGCAGCAGGCGCCUCGGGGGGGCAGGCCCUGCUCGGGGAGGGCAUGGGGGGGCGCCAGGGUGGUGACGGGCGCUCCGCUCUGCCCAGGUGGCUGGGACUCCACCUAACGCCGCGGAGGGGGCCUCCCCGGGGACCCCGCUCAGCCUCCGGCGAGGAGGGCGAGGGGGGGGCCACGGCGAAGGACGGAGGGGAGCCGCGAAGGAAAACGUCUCCCGCCGGCGCCGCGCAACCGGCUCGAUGCCUCUUGCUUUCCCCGGCCCCGAGGAAGCCGCCGCUCCUCUCCCGCGCCGCGGGGCCGCGGCCACCCGAAGGGCAGCCUUGGGGUGCUCCUCUCCGCGGCUGCCCCGCGGCGGGGAGGGCGCCUUGGCACCCCGCUCCCCGCAGGGCGCUGGGCACCCUGGGCACGAGGGACUUGCUGCAGCUCGGCGGCCUCAUCCUGCCCGCGAAGGCAGGUGCGGAGGGGGCGCAGCGGCGCCCUCGGGAAGGUGCGGGACCCUGGCGCCUCGCUGCCCUUCUGCACGGGUGCAGGCUGGAGCGGGAGCACCCAGAUGCAGCCUCCCCCCCCCCGGGGAAGGCGGCCCCCGGCCAUGUUGGGAGAUGCUGCCUCGUCCCGGCUGCAGCGGGUGUGAUUUUUAUCACCAGUUUCCUGUCGUUUUGUAUUUUUCCUCAGCUUUCAUUAAAAAAAAAGAAUAAUUUUCUAGCUCUCCUUGUUGCAGAUAAGCUUCUGACUGGGUCACCUAAAGGCUCAAACCUUAACCGAAAUAAAAGACAAGCAGACAGAAGCCCAGCUG